rnacentral:rRNA from 1 species
UACGAAGGGAGCUAGCGUUGUUCGGAAUCACUGGGCGUAAAGCGCACGUAGGCGGAUGUGUCAGUCAGGGGUGAAAUCCCGGAGCUCAACUUCGGAACUGCCUUUGAUACAGCACGUCUUGAGUCCGAUAGAGGUGGGUGGAAUUCCCGGUGUAGUGGUGGAAUGCGUAGAUAUCGGAAGGAACGCCGGUGGCGAAAGCGACGUGCUGGAUCUCUUCUGACGCUGAGGCGCGAAAGCCAGGGGAGCAAACGGG